GCUCAACUUUGGCAUUUCGCGUUUUUAAAAGGUUGCCUACCCGACUCUCACAUCGAGACCGAAAUUAAGUCUAAUUUUGUAAAGUCCAUGGUUGAUCGAUGAUUAAAUCGAUGGGAUGCGUGCGACGAUGCGUGGUAGAAAGGUCGGAGAAAGAUGGCGAAAGGACGCUAGUGUGUGUGGUGCCCAGAAAUUCAGUCUCUGCUAUAUUUGUGAGGUUCCCGAUGGAACGACGUUUGAGUUUUUGGCGAGAGGAGAUUGUCUGGGGCACAAAUUUGAGAGUUUUGCCGACCGCCAUUGAGUAACCACGAGUCAGUGCGUACACGUGGAGAUCCCUUUUGAUAAGGGAAAUAAGUAAGGCUGAAUUAAAGCUGGAGUAAAGUAAGCUCGUUGUUGAAGCGGAUGACUCCGUUCACCGGUAUUUUGGAGCCAGAAGUUUGGUGAUAUCCAUUCUACGUUUUUUUGUGCACCUGACGCCAUUUUGUGGUGGAUAGAAAAUUUUCGAUUAGAAACCGAAAGAGCUUUCGUUGAGGUCUUGAAUCAAGCAGGACAUGGACCUGUGAUAGUCAAGAGAGUUUUUUUGAGCGUAACCGACAUUUUUGAACGUGAGGUGAUUGAAGUCAAGACACGUGAAAAGGCAACGUGGCCAUUAUCCGUGGCACUAGGGUCAAGCAAGAGCACUAGUAGGUAGAGCUUCGGUUGGAGCUGUUGUGGUUGCCGAGGUCAACACGUAGUCGACUUCAGUAUAUUUUUUUGAAGUACGAAUCGUAGCCCAGGAGGAGCAACGAAGGUCGUAGACAGAUAAGUUUAGAAUUAAGUUCAUAAUUCCAGUAUUGUUAAAGAGUUCUAAUCUUUCGUUUGGGAAAAAAGUAUUUAAUAACAAGAGCGGAGCGUCAAUAAGUACUUAUUUUUGCGCGCUUUCAUGACCUGAUUCUAGUCAGAUAUUUUGGAAACCCACCGAAUUAGAUAUCUUUUUUUGAGCGUCAUUGUAUUUCCAAUAAGUCUUAGUAAACCCGAAGUAAUCUUUCUUUAUUUUUUUCUUUUUUAUUUAAUGAGAAGUGUCAUUAUUUUCUUGUGUAAAUAAACUAUUUUAAUAAGGGGA